UUUUUAUUUAUUUAUUUUCCAUGAAGCCAAGUUCCUGGCUUUUCCCAAGACCUUCAAGGACACGAUUGACCUCGGAAUCAGCUGUAAAGGAGGAUGAAACCGAUGUUUAAGAAUGGGACAGCGAUAUUGCAUCAAUGUGUCUCCUUCAUUUGAUUCCACCAUCACCACAAGGCUGCAAGGGACCUGGAGAAAUGUCCUCCUAUCAAGCUGAAAAACAUCUUCAAAAAGGCACUAACCAGAAGAACACCUUGUAGAGACCACACAGCCGUAUAGGGUUGUUCCGAUUCCGAUACUAGUAUCGGAAAUUUCACCGAUACCACAAAAAAUUCUGGCAUCGGUAUCGGCGAGUACUUGAACCCAUGUACCGAUCCGAUACCAUUUUCUUAAACAAGACCUAUAGUUAUGCGCGCUAGCUUUGCUUAACGCUGCAAAUAGGAAAUAAAUUCUUCUUCGCUGCUCAGAAUGCAAACACAGGAAGCUGUGCUGUGUUGCCACAAGCAACCACUAUUUAGAGCAGCGAAGAAGUACAAACGUGCAAGCACAUUGCCAGUAAAUCACUUGCAUAUGCGACUAAAUCUUCACCCUGGGCGACUAUGUGAUGUCUAAUAUUAGCCACUGGCUGAUAAAUAAUCAGAUUUUAUAGUAUGUGAGUUGGAGUCUAUGUAUAAGUUUAGCACAGAUAUAUUGUCACUCGCCGAACACUCUGACUGAGCGCUUCAGAGUUUCACUCUCCGUCAAGCGAUCUAUUUUUCAGAUCAUCUGAAUGAAUACGCAGCGCACCUGUAUUUGACGCACCGUAAGCUCUAGUGUGAAGUGCACGACUCGCCAUCGCUUUGCUUUUUUUCUCACAUGCAGCGAGAGAGAGAGAGUCUUUUACAUGUAGCGCGUCAAUUCUGCUUGGUAUGUAAACGAUAUUCUUUGUUGUAUUUUUCUGUCAAAGUGGAGUUCCUUUGGAAUUCUAACUGCCGGGUUCUCCGGUAGUAGGCGGAGCUAAUGAGCAAACGACAAUCUCAUUGGCUGGCGCUCACCUAUUAUCGUCCCUGUUUUGAUUUCAGCCAAUCAGUUCGAGCAAACGCAGACAACGUGAUUAAUAUUCAUGAACCCAGCAGCUCAUUAAUCCUUAGUGCGUUUAUAUUGUUCUUAGUAGAAUUCAUAGUAUGAUUAUUAUCUUAUCAGUAUUAUUGA